rnacentral:rRNA from 1 species
GACGAACGCUGGCGGCGUGCUUAACACAUGCAAGUCGAACGGAAAGGCCCUGCUUUUGUGGGGUGCUCGAGUGGCGAACGGGUGAGUAACACGUGAGUAACCUGCCCUUGACUUUGGGAUAACUUCAGGAAACUGGGGCUAAUACCGGAUAGGAGCUCCUGCUGCAUGGUGGGGGUUGGAAAGUUUCUGCGGUUUGGGAUGGGCUCGCGGCUUAUCAGCUUGUUGGUGGGGUAGUGGCUUACCAAGGCUUUGACGGGUAGCCGGCCUGAGAGGGUGACCGGCCACAUUGGGACUGAGAUACGGCCCAGACUCCUACGGGAGGCAGCAGUGGGGAAUAUUGCACAAUGGGCGGAAGCCUGAUGCAGCAACGCCGCGGGCGGGAUGACGGCCUUCGGGUUGUAAACCGCUUUCGCCUGUGACGAAGCGUGAGUGACGGUAAUGGGUAAAGAAGCACCGGCUAACUACGUGC